GGGAACACAGCGAAGCAGUGAGCUGAGGAAAACCCUUGAGAUUGUGGCCCAAGGGGUGGUUUCCAGCACUACUGAUUACCUUUUCUCCUGAAAAAUGUCAUCAAGGACCCUGAAAGAGACACAGAGGAGAGAGAGCACACAAGCAUGAUCGGGGUGGGGCAGAGGGAGAAGAAGACACCCCGCUGAGCAGGGAGCCCACAUGGGACUUGAUCCCAGGACCUUGAGACCAUGACACGAGCUGAAGGCAGACGCUUAACUGACUGAGCC
rnacentral:lncRNA from 1 species